AGCAAUGUAACUUAGUGGAGAGAGCAUGGGCCUGGAAGUCAGAAGGACCUGGGUUCUAAUCCCAGCUUUGCUG
rnacentral:tRNA from 1 species